AGCGAACGCAGGCGGCAGGCCUAACACAUGCAAGUCGAACGAACCCUUCGGGGUUAGUGGCGGACGGGUGAGUAACACGUGGGAACGUGCCUUUAGGUUCGGAAUAACUCAGGGAAACUUGUGCUAAUACCGAAUGUGCCCUUCGGGGGAAAGAUUUAUCGCCUUUAGAGCGGCCCGCGUCUGAUUAGCCAGUUGGUGAGGUAAUGGCUCACCAAGGCUACGAUCAGUAGCUGGUCUGAAAGGAUGACCAGCCACAUUGGGACUGAGACACGGCCCAAACGCCUACGGGAGGCAGCAGUGGGGAAUCUUGCGCAAUGGGCGAAAGCCUGACGCAGCCAUGCCGCGUGGAUGAUGAAGGUCUUAGGAUUGUAAAAUCCUUUCACCGGUGAAGAUAAUGACUGUAGCCGGAGAAGAAGCCCCGGCUAACUUCGUGCCAGCCGCCGCGGUAAUAC
rnacentral:rRNA from 1 species